rnacentral:rRNA from 1 species
GAUGAACGCUGGCGGCGUGCCUAAUACAUGCAAGUCGAGCGAACAGACGAGGAGCUUGCUCCUCUGACGUUAGCGGCGGACGGGUGAGUAACACGUGGGUAACCUACCUAUAAGACUGGGAUAACUCCGGGAAACCGGGGCUAAUACCGGAUAACACAUGAAACCGCAUGGUUUCAUGAUGAAAGACGGUUUUGCUGUCACUUAUAGAUGGACCCGCGGCGUAUUAGCUAGUUGGUAAGGUAACGGCUUACCAAGGCAACGAUACGUAGCCGACCUGAGAGGGUGAUCGGCCACACUGGAACUGAGACACGGUCCAGACUCCUACGGGAGGCAGCAGUAGGGAAUCUUCCGCAAUGGGCGAAAGCCUGACGGAGCAACGCCGCGUGAGUGAUGAAGGUCUUCGGAUCGUAAAACUCUGUUAUUAGGGAAGAACAAGGAUGUAAGUAACUAUGCAUCCCUUGACGGUACCUAAUCAGAAAGCCACGGCUAACUACGUGCCAGCAGCCGCGGUAAUACGUAGGUGGCAAGCGUUAUCCGGAAUUAUUGGGCGUAAAGCGCGCGUAGGCGGUUUUUUAAGUCUGAUGUGAAAGCCCACGGCUCAACCGUGGAGGGUCAUUGGAAACUGGAAAACUUGAGUGCAGAAGAGGAAAGUGGAAUUCCAUGUGUAGCGGUGAAAUGCGCAGAGAUAUGGAGGAACACCAGUGGCGAAGGCGACUUUCUGGUCUGCAACUGACGCUGAUGUGCGAAAGCGUGGGGAUCAAACAGGAUUAGAUACCCUGGUAGUCCACGCCGUAAACGAUGAGUGCUAAGUGUUAGGGGGUUUCCGCCCCUUAGUGCUGCAGCUAACGCAUUAAGCACUCCGCCUGGGGAGUACGGCCGCAAGGCUGAAAC